UACAGAGGUCCCAAGCGUUGUUCGGAUUCACUGGGCGUAAAGGGUGCGUAGGCGGUCGGGUAAGUCUGAUGUGAAAUCUCACAGCUUAACUGUGAAACUGCAUUGGAUACUAUCCGGCUCGAGGAAUGGAGGGGAGACUGGAAUACUUGGUGUAGCAGUGAAAUGCGUAGAUAUCAAGUGGAACACCAGUGGUGAAGGCGAGUCUCUGGACAUUUCCUGACGCUGAGGCACGAAAGCCAGGGGAGCAAACGGG
rnacentral:rRNA from 1 species